GCCUCGGUAGCGCAGUAGGCAGCGCGUCAGUCUCAUAAUCUGAAGGUCGUUAGUUUGAUCCUCACCCGGGGCA
rnacentral:tRNA from 1 species